UCUGUAGAGCUUUCUCUGUGCUGUGUCCAGCAGAGCCCAUUCCUCUGGGGUGAAUUUGAUGGUCAUGUCUUCAAUGGUGAUUGAUUCCUCUUGAUGCACUGCCAUUUGUAGUUUCCUGUAGAGGUUAACUGACAGGGCAAUCAAGAUGAAAACAUGGAAAUUUAUGAGAAGAAUUUCAGACUACUUGAAAAUUCGUGUUGUAAGCAGCAGAAAAUCAGUCACUCCAAGCUUUGCGAUCUAAACCCUCCAGAGGCUUUUUGUUGGGGU